UCCAUACUCCCUCCGUCCGGAAUUACUUGUCAUCAAAAUGGAUGAAAAUGAAUGUAUUUAGAACUAAAAUACAUCUAGAUACAUCCAUUUCAAUGACAAGUAUUUCCAGACGGAGGGAGUAUUUG
rnacentral:pre_miRNA from 1 species